UAGCAGCUCAGUCUUAUUAGUCCUG
rnacentral:piRNA from 1 species